GAUGAACGCUGGCGGCGUGCUUAACACAUGCAAGUCGAGCGAAGCACUUAGGAAAGAUUCUUCGGAUGAUUUCCUAUUUGACUGAGCGGCGGACGGGUGAGUAACGCGUGGGUAACCUGCCUCAUACAGGGGGAUAACAGUUAGAAAUGACUGCUAAUACCGCACAAGACCACAGCACCGCAUGGUGCAGGGGUAAAAACUCCGGUGGUAUGAGAUGGACCCGCGUCUGAUUAGUUAGUUGGUGGGGUAACGGCCUACCAAGGCGACGAUCAGUAGCCGACCAGAGAGGGUGACCGGCCACAUUGGGACUGAGACACGGCCCAAACUCCUACGGGAGGCAGCAGUGGGGAAUAUUGCACAAUGGGGGAAACCCUGAUGCAGCGACGCCGCGUGAGCGAAGAAGUAUUUCGGUAUGUAAAGCUCUAUCAGCAGGGAAGAAAAUGACGGUACCUGACUAAGAAGCCCCGGCUAACUACGUGCCAGCAGCCGCAGUAA
rnacentral:rRNA from 1 species